GAUGAACGCUGGCGGCGUGCCUAAUACAUGCAAGUCGAGCGAACAGACGAGGAGCUUGCUCCUCUGACGUUAGCGGCGGACGGGUGAGUAACACGUGGAUAACCUACCUAUAAGACUGGGAUAACUUCGGGAAACCGGAGCUAAUACCGGAUAAUAUAUUGAACCGCAUGGUUCAAUAGUGAAAGACGGUUUUGCUGUCACUUAUAGAUGGAUCCGCGCCGCAUUAGCUAGUUGGUAAGGUAACGGCUUACCAAGGCAACGAUGCGUAGCCGACCUGAGAGGGUGAUCGGCCACACUGGAACUGAGACGCGGUCCAGACUCCUACGGGAGGCAGCAGUAGGGAAUCUUCCGCAAUGGGCGGAAGCUUGACGGAGCAACGCCGCGUGAGUGAUGAAGAUCUUCGGAUCGUAAAACUCUGUUAUUAGGGAAGAACAAAUGUGUAAGUAACUAUGCACGUCUUGACGGUACCUAAUCAGAAAGCCACGGCUAACUACGUG
rnacentral:rRNA from 1 species